GACGAACGCUGGCGGCGUGCUUAACACAUGCAAGUCGAACGGAAAGGCCCUGCUUUUGUGGGGUGCUCGAUUGGCGAACGGGUGAGUAACACGUGAGUAACCUGCCCUUGACUUUGGGAUAACUUCAGGAAACUGGGGCUAAUACCGGAUAGGAGCUCCUGCUGCAUGGUGGGGGUUGGAGAGUGUCGGCGGUUGGGGAUGGACUCGCGGCUUAUCCGCUUGUUGGUGGGGUAGUGGCGUACCAAGGCUUUGACGGGUAGCCGGCCUGAGAGGGUGACCGGCCACAUUGGGACUGAGAUACGGCCCAGACUCGUACGGGCGGCAGCAGUGGGGAAUAUUGCACAAUGGGCGGAAGCCUGAGGCAGCAACGCCGCGUGCGGGAUGACGGCUUUCGGGUUGUAAACAGCUUUCGACUGUGACGAAGCGUGAGUGACGGUAAUGGGUAAGGAAGCACCGGCUAACUACGUG
rnacentral:rRNA from 1 species